AAGUCGCAAUCAUAAAACUCAUUAAAUAUUGGUUUCGAAGUGAAUUAAUAAAAUGUCAAUUUCCAGUAUAUAUUCGUUGGUUAUAUUAGCACAUAUAUCACUAGUAAUAGGUGAAUCCAAUAUUAUGCCUCAAUAUGAAGAAGACUGUUUGAAGGACAAUCAUCUUUCAUCUCAAGAUUUGGCUGGUAUCGGAGGAAAUGACGAACUAGGUUUACCUGUUAAAUGUUAUUUCAAAUGUUUAAUGAAGAAAACGGGUCAGUUGGGUUCAGAUGGAACAGUAUAUUUUUUUCCAGCAUUCAUUCUGACUCAGAAACCGGAAACACAAACUUGUUUGAAUAAUAUUGGAAAGAUAAUGGAGUGUGAGGAUAUGGUCCAAAUUUUUGAAUGCUUUUACUAACCCAGCAACUGAACCUAUUGAAAACUUUUUAAUAAAUAUAUUACUUCUUG